GUUCCGAUCAGUCAGCAAAUACAAACCGAAUCGAAUUGAUCAUAUCCGGUUCGAUUCGGGUCAAGUUUGGGUUAUAACGGAAAAUAGCCUUCUUCUCCUACGCCAAAUUGCCCUCCCCGCGGGCCGCAACCGCUCUCUCAGUCUUCAUCUUCAGCCGCACUCUCUCAAAUCGACGCCGGACUCUCGGACGGCCGGCAAAGCAAUGGCCCUCCCCACUCGGCUUUUUACUUCUUCCUUCCGCCGGAGGUUCUGCAAUUCAGUUGGCAUGGUGGGGAUUUGAUGCAAUUUCUAUGCGAUUUUAGAGAUAAAUCUACUAAUAACGUAAGGACUGGAUUUUUAUUCAAAAACAGUGUUGUGUUGAGGUGUGUAAUUCAAAAACUAUGCAAACUUGUGGAAGUAGACGACGGAAUUGGUUGAAGAGGAAUGGAUUCUUGUUCAAUAAAUUCAAUUUAGUUGGAAACUCCAAAUGGCCGCAGUGGGGAUGCGGACGGUGAUGUUAAGAGUGAAGAAAAGGAUGUAGUUUUAGAAGAUGAUAUCCAGAACGAAGAGAAAGAAAAUGAUUCUGAAGGUGAAGAUGCUGAAUUUGAUGUUACCAGAUUAAGAAAAUUUGAUAUUAGUAUUAACAUAGAUUUUCCAUAAUUUUAUGCUAUGUAGUUGCAAAACUUGAGUUCAAAUUUGGAUUGGAGAUGAGAAGCUAUAUCUGUUCUCCAUCUUUCUUGAGCGUCUACUUUCAAAUAUGGUUUAUUUAUACUUCAUCUAUAUGAAUUUUAUAUUAUGCUACAUAUUAAAUAAUAAUUAUGCCAAA